rnacentral:rRNA from 1 species
GUGGAUUAGAUACCCUAGUAGUCCACGCUGUAAACGAUGUCAACUAGCUGUUGGAUAUAUGAAUAUAUUUAGUGGCGCAGCAAACGCGAUAAGUUGACCGCCUGGGGAGUACGGUCGCAAGAUUAAAACUCAAAGGAAUUGACGGGGGCCCGCACAAGCGGUGGAGCAUGUGGUUUAAUUCGAUGCAACGCGAAGAACCUUACCUACCCUUGACAUACAGUGGAGCUUGCAGAGAUGCGAGUGUGCCUUCGGGAACACUGAUACAGGUGCUGCAUGGUCGUCGACAACU